rnacentral:rRNA from 1 species
UACGGAGGAUCCAAGCGUUAUCCGGAUUCAUUGGGUUUAAAGGGUGCGUAGGCGGCUUAUUAAGUCAGUGGUGAAAUCCCGAGGCUCAACUUCGGAACUGCCAUUGAUACUGAUAAGCUUGAGUGUAAAUGAAGUGGGCGGAAUGUGUCGUGUAGCGGUGAAAUGCUUAGAUAUGACACAGAACACCGAUUGCGAAGGCAGCUCACUAAACUACAACCGACGCUGAGGCACGAAAGCGUGGGGAUCAAACAGG